CCUUAAGGAUGUCGGCCUAAGUUCGCCGCGUCCUGCGGCAACGGCUGACUGACUCGCAUCCUGCGAG
rnacentral:sRNA from 1 species